GGGUGAUCGGCCACAUUGGGACUGAGACACGGCCCAAACUCCUACGGGAGGCAGCAGUAGGGAAUCUUCGGCAAUGGACGAAAGUCUGACCGAGCAACGCCGCGUGAGUGAAGAAGGUUUUCGGAUCGUAAAACUCUGUUGUUAGAGAAGAACAAGGAUGAGAGUAACUGUUCAUCCCUUGACGGUAUCUAACCAGAAAGCCACGGCUAACUACGUGCCAGCAGCCGCGGUAAUACGUAGGUGGCAAGCGUUGUCCGGAUUUAUUGGGCGUAAAGCGAGCGCAGGCGGUUUCUUAAGUCUGAUGUGAAAGCCCCCGGCUCAACCGGGGAGGGUCAUUGGAAACUGGGAGACUUGAGUGCAGAAGAGGAGAGUGGAAUUCCAUGUGUAGCGGUGAAAUGCGUAGAUAUAUGGGGGAACACCAGUGGCGAAGGCGGCUCUCUGGUCUGUAACUGACGCUGAGGCUCGAAAGCGUGGGGAGCAAACAGGAUUAGAUACCCUGGUAGUCCACGCCGUAAACGAUGAGUGCUAAGUGUUGGAGGGUUUCCGCCCUUCAGUGCUGCAGCUAACGCAUUAAGCACUCCGCCUGGGGAGUACGACCGCAAGG
rnacentral:rRNA from 1 species